UAACUAGGUGUGUGUGUAUCUGUUACACAA
rnacentral:piRNA from 1 species